GAGUCGGUAGUGCAGUGGUUCAGCACGCGCCCCCGGAUAGGGUGAAAUGUGGGCUCAAAUCCCAACUGACGCA